rnacentral:rRNA from 1 species
AGCGAACGCUGGCGGCAGGCUUAACACAUGCAAGUCGAACGAAGUCUUCGGACUUAGUGGCGGACGGGUGAGUAACGCGUGGGAACGUGCCUUUAGGUUCGGAAUAACUCAGGGAAACUUGUGCUAAUACCGAAUGUGCCCUUCGGGGGAAAGAUUUAUCGCCUUUAGAGCGGCCCGCGUCUGAUUAGCUAGUUGGUGAGGUAAAGGCUCACCAAGGCUACAAUCAGUAGCUGGUCUGAGAGGAUGACCAGCCACAUUGGGACUGAGACACGGCCCAAACUCCUACGGGAGGCAGCAGUGGGGAAUCUUGCGCAAUGGGCGAAAGCCUGACGCAGCCAUGCCGCGUGGAUGAUGAAGGUCUUAGGAUUGUAAAAUCCUUUCACCGGUGAAGAUAAUGACUGUAGCCGGAGAAGAAGCCCCGGCUAACUUCGUGCCAGCCGCCGCCGUAACAC